rnacentral:ncRNA from 1 species
GUGAAUAUUGGGCAAACCUAUUGAAAAGUAGGGACGCAAAGCUAAGGGUCUAAGGAUAAGAUUAUCUAUGAUUGCCACGCCGCCGUA